UAGGAGAUCACAUCGGAGCAUGUUGUCACAUCAGUGGAACAAAUAGCUAGUAAACCUAACGCAUUCAAUAGUAGAACUAUUACUUUCCAGAUCUAUAUAAAAUAUCUCUCUCUAGAAGGAGCAUAGAAACAAAGACGAUAAUGGAGUCAGAAUUUAGAUGCGAUUCAGAGGACAAUUGGGAGAGUCCAAUGCUCGGUGUGCUGGUAUUGACUGGAUUGCUGGUCAUUGGACUGUUGAGAGCCACUGUGCAAUACAACCAGGGAAUGAAUGGAUACCAAAUUAUUGGGUCAUGUUCAAGUCAUUACAUGGGGAAGUUCCUUUCUUCUUUCGCUUUUUUUGGCUAACACAUUUGCACAGUGAUUGAUGUGACACAUAAGCAUAGUAGCUCCAGUCAAAUAUAUGCUGAUAUUUAUGGUAUAUAUGUCGAGGAUAUGUUACUUUUCAUGAACUUUCCAGCGGAUGAACCAAUCUCUCCCAGCUAUGCAAGUUAUUUGCACCAUUCCAAAUGCUAAUUCAACUUCAUUUUA